CCCCCCUAAGUAUGGCCGGGAGGUGAGAGGGGCACGGUGAGGUGUGCUUCAGUCAGUUUAGUCUGUGCAGCACAAGAAGAUGAAGCUGCCAGCAUGAUCUGAAAGCGGACGCGUUCUUCGUGAUCAUGUCUGGGCAAGGACAACACGGGAAAUAGGCGAGGCGACCAGAUCAUCUAGCAGUUUCAUUCUCUUGUGGCAGCACACACCUAUACUUGUGCUGAAACCCUAGAGUUAGGCAACGUGUAUCUUCUUCCACGCAGCGAGAUCUACACCAACGACGCAGGUAGGGUUUUCAGGUGAAGAAGCCUUGCAUCUGCAUGUAGAGGACAAUUGAUCUCGAUGCAUGUUCCUAGCUUCCAGCGUUAUUAAUUCUUGGCCAAUUCGUUUCUGCAAGAGUUGCGUCUACGAUGUUACCUUUGUAAUUUUGUAGUACCGAAUUAAUAACUGCAGUAGUUUCUUUAAGGCAUUUGGAUCCAGGAUAAUGGCAUGUUUCAUCAUUUUGAAAUUACAAGUAACAGACACUCUGAAGAAACUGUAGAUCAUCUAUUCAUCUUCUGCUAGAUCAAGCUACGAUCAAAGUAGGAUAGGAUCAAGGUAUUAUGAAUACAUAGUGGGAACACCAUCUGACCAAACUGCAAUCUUGCUACAUCAAUAUGUAAUGUAUGCCCCCACAACCUAACAACAUCUAUAUGUGGCUUAAUCUCAAAAUGGAAAAUAACACUAGUUUUCAGGGCAACUAUGAGUCACAAAAAUAGAGUUACCGAACAGAUCUAUUUCAACAGUUGCAUUUGAUUAAUUUAAAUGUUGUAGCAAAUCACCCACUGUCAGUAAACUCAUUUGAUAAACCAUGAUUAUUCUGAAUAUCUGAUGCAGUUCCUCUUAUGUUAAGUCAAUAUCUGACACUACAUGAUGCUAGUAUAUACAGUAUCACUGAGCAUGGACCUGGCAGUACUUGAAGUUCCAUCUAGAAAGGACACGUGCAUUAAUUUACACGAAGUUUGAAUCAACAUGAUAGUCUCCGGGAUAUUUUUGCCCUCCAAAUAAUUCCAAGGAUAUUGAAUUCUGGCACACAAUUUAGAGUACAGCAAAGUUUUGCUCUCGCUUUUACAUAUCUGUCUUCUACUUAACAUUUGUCAGAUUGCUCACCAUUUAUAUGCCUAUCAAGUCUCAAUUAUGUAUUUCCUUGUUCAACCUAUGAGUCAACAGGGAUUGUUUUCAUCAUGAAUAUACUACCAUUUUGUUUUCUAAA